rnacentral:rRNA from 1 species
UGAGGAAUAUUGGUCAAUGGGCGCAGGCCUGAACCAGCCAAGUAGCGUGAAGGAUGACUGCCCUAUGGGUUGUAAACUUCUUUUAUAAAGGAAUAAAGUCGGGUAUGUAUACCCGUUUGCAUGUACUUUAUGAAUAAGGAUCGGCUAACUCCGUGCCAGCAGCCGCGGUAAUACGGAGGAUCCGAGCGUUAUCCGGAUUUAUUGGGUUUAAAGGGAGCGUAGAUGGAUGUUUAAGUCAGUUGUGAAAGUUUGCGGCUCAACCGUAAAAUUGCAGUUGAUACUGGAUAUCUUGAGUGCAGUUGAGGCAGGCGGAAUUCGUGGUGUAGCGGUGAAAUGCUUAGAUAUCACGAAGAACUCCGAUUGCGAAGGCAGCCUGCUAAGCUGCAACUGACAUUGAGGCUCGAAAGUGUGGGUAUCAAACAGGAUUAGAUACCCUGGUAGUCCACACGGUAAACGAUGAAUACUCGCUGUUUGCGAUAUACAGUAAGCGGCCAAGCGAAAGCAUUAAGUAUUCCACCUGGGGAGUACGCCGGCAACGGUGAAACUCAAAGGAAUUGACGGGGGCCCGCACAAGCGGAGGAACAUGUGGUUUAAUUCGAUGAUACGCGAGGAACCUUACCCGGGCUUAAAUUGCAAAUGAAUUACGGUGAAAGCCGUAAGCCGCAAGGCAUCUGUGAAGGUGCUGCAUGGUUGUCGUCAGCUCGUGCCGUGAGGUGUCGGCUUAAGUGCCAUAACGAGCGCAACCCUUGUUGUCAGUUACUAACAGGUUUUGCUGAGGACUCUGACAAGACUGCCAUCGUAAGAUGUGAGGAAGGUGGGGAUGACGUCAAAUCAGCACGGCCCUUACGUCCGGGGCUACACACGUGUUACAAUGGGGGGUACAGAAGGCCGCUACCUGGUGACAGGAUGCCAAUCCCAAAAACCUCUCUCAGUUCGGAUCGAAGUCUGCAACCCGACUUCGUGAAGCUGGAUUCGCUAGUAAUCGCGCAUCAGCCAUGGCGCGGUGAAUACGUUCCC